GACGUGCAUGUGUGUACAUGUGCAUGUUGUGCACACACACACACACACACCAGGGAAGGCACACCGUGAGGGAGCACUGAGACUCACCGCUCCGCGCAGACGGAGGUGGCUGGGGAGCAGCCAUGGGGGGGCGUCCCGUUGAUUGGGAAGUGCAGACCCCGCCCCACCCCUCGGGGGGAGUGAGUGGGCAGGAGGCACAGGGUGCUCCUGGGUGCCGGGCCUGGAUCUGGUCCAGCGAGGACAGCGGGGCGGCCCCCAGGGGUGCUGACCGCGCCAGCAGACCAGCUGCCAAGGAAGCUCCGGCCCUGCCUCCGGUCAGAGCACACACGUCGUCCGCAUGGGCGUGAGACUAACCGGCGGGGGCUGACCUCCUGCACCGCUAGCAUCGCCCUUCGGUGAACGAGGAUGACUAGCGAUUUAGAGGUGCUGCCCUUGUGCCUGCAGGAGAGAAGUGGGCGCCGCUGCUUCCUGGGCACCCAGCUCCGUGGUUGGCGAGGCUCAGAGUCAGGGUUCCAGGCCAACCCUUCCUCCAGGGUGGCGGGCGGCUCCCAGGCCCAGCCACGCCCCACUGCCCGAGAAUGUGCACAGAUUGGACCCACCAGAGAGCUCCAGGGAGUGGGGCUGGCCUGGACCUGGGCACUUGGAAAGGGACACGCCCAUCACCAGAGCCAACAUGGCCCCGCAGAAGGGCAGUCACGCCCGACUACACUCAUUUCCUUCCUGGACACACUGGCUGCCGGGGCAGGUACCACAGUGCCUGGCAGGCCUGGCACAGCCGCUCCCAGCUCAGGCCCAGCCAAGUGACUCCUCGAUGCCCGCUGCAGACGGACGUCAGGGCAAGGCCUGGGGCCUCUGCCAGCCUCGCCGGCUGGUCGCACCUGCCUUCCCUGCAGCCUUCCUGGCCCCUCCUCUCCAGCUCCCACACCAGGAAGUCUCGGGCGGCUGUCCGUGGCGCAGGGGGGCCACCUCCAUUCCCAGAUGGAGCCUGGGCAGCAGAGGCCCGAGUGGAGCUGCCCCAGCCCUGCCCGCCUCGUGGGAGCCAGGGACCGCGGGAGCCAGGGAGCGAGUUCUUCCCUCCUCGCCCGCAGCUUCUGCGGCUAAUCUAGGCGCCUCCACUGCCCACCCCGGGAGGGGCUGGGAUCCUACCUGACUCACCCCUGGGCGUGUGGACAACCACGGCCUCACCUUCAUAGCACCGUCGGGGAAGAAGGUGCUGGGUGGCCAAGGCGCUCGCUAGCAAUCCCUUAAGAUCAGCGAAUGAGCCCUCAGGGAGCCCUGGACCCCGAGGGAGGGGCUGAAAAAUCUAGGCCAUCGUGUGCGCGCAUCCUCAGCCUGUCCCAACGACGUCCGCAGAGGUCUCCCAGAACCUGCUGAGCACCAGGGUCACUGAGGGCCACCAUGUUGCCAGGUCGCUGCGGGGCUGGGGGCGUCUGCGGGGGCGGGGCCGGUUUUCCAAGGAAGGCGCGGCUGACGGAGGAGGCCGUGCCCUGGGCACACAGUCCGUCCCACCUCCUCCUUCAGCCUCACAGUGGCUGUUUCCUGUUUGAGGCGGAGACGAGGUCCUGCUGUCUUCACGUUACUCUCAGACCAAACACAAGCAGGGACUGGCUGGAAACAGACCGCUUGCGGCGAGCAGCCCCUCCCGUGUGCCCACCGGAGGCACCUGUGACAUGCGGUUAAACCGUGGCAGCCCCAUUGCCGUGUGGGGAGGGCUCCUGGGGCGGCUGAGGACGGGCAAGGGUCCUGUGGCCGAUGGAGCUCACAGUCUGUGUCGGCUCCCUGGAGAGCACCCAGUGCUCAGCGCUCAGACCACAGCUAGAUAAGCCCAGACAGGGGCCGGCGGGGAGGGAUCCCCAAACAAGGGGUCACUGUGUCCACCCUUCUGCUUCUGAACUCUGCCAGGAACUGGGGACCUCCGUUGGGCUGGGAGCUCUUCCUCCGUCCUCCGUUCCUCUUCUUGGAGCAGUGACAGGGUCUCUCUGAGCGGCCACCGCAGCCCUACGGGUGUCACGCACGUUCUUCGUGAGGGACUGUGUUUAGUUCUGAUAGCAGCCCAUCAACCAUUCCCAUUUUAUAGAUGAGGAAACCGAGGCUAGAAGCCAGGUAUCUUUUUUCGGGUCCUAAGUGGCGGAUCAGGUCUGCCAUCUAUGACCCCCUCGACCUCCAGAGGGAAGACGACCUAGGACAGCAGGACGGCUGGGCACCAGGGGCCGCAGGCUCUCCACUGAUCCGGUGGGUGUCCCAGGAGGGAACCGAACACUCCGACAUCCUCUGUGCCAGUGAGGAAGGACCCAGGCCCCACCCAGGGCCAGCGCCAGUGGGGCAGACCCGCACCUCACCGCACAGCUGCAGACACAGGGCCCACAGCACCCCGAAAACGGGGCUGAGCCCCGGCUUGUGGUAGGAGCCCCUUCUACCCCCUCCUGGUCCUGCCAUCCUGUCCCCACCGCCAGGAGCCACAGCGAGUCUGCCAGCCCCCGCAGGGCUCGGCGCAGACCGACGGCGCACAUGCGGUGCUUCCCGCCGCCGCAGGCACACACUCAGGCUCUCCCGCACAAGCAGACAGGAUGCCGGCCGCCCAGAGUCCAGCACCAGGAGCGGACAUGCCUGGCAGCCCCGCCUUCACCACGGACGCCCGCACUGCUGGCCCCCACGUCCACAUUGCUCCGUCGGGCCACCGGCCACGCCCGGGACACGCAACCACGCCUGGCCACCUGGAUGGGAGCGGGAGGUGCGUCCGGCCUCACCAUGACUGUAAGCUAAGGACGGUGGCAGCGCCGCACACUUCCGAGGGGAGGCCGCGUCCUAAAUCCAAAUUACUCAGACGCCGGGGACCCCGCGGCCCCCAGAGCGCACUCCCGAUGCCUUGCGGGCAGUGCGCGGUCUGCGGCCAGGGGCGCGGUCAGGCGCUGUGUGCAGCCUCCAGAAGCGGCCGGGGCGGCGGGGUCCUCGCACAGGCGGCUCCGUGUGGGCUGCCGCCCACGGUACGGUUCACGUGUCUCCACGCCCUGAUGUUUCCACACUCAGGGAACAAGAACACUGUGAUCGUCAGAGUUCGAACUCCCAUUCGAGCUGUCUGAAGUAAAACUCGCAAGCCUCCCUCUGGCCCCUCCUCCUGCCUCCGCCUCGGAUGCCAGGAGCCUCCGCUGCCUCUUCCCCAGCCUCACUCAGUUCUGCAAAUCCUGGGGCGGGACCUGACAGGGGCAGCACCAUGCACAGGGUCGGGGGAAGCAGGUGCGCACCAGACCCGGGACCCUGGGUGCAGAGCCGCUGACCCUGGUGACCCCAGUGACCCCGGUGAGAUCCGCCCCUGCUCUGCAGGAAAGGGGGCAGCAGACCUUCCUCUGUCCACCCUGGAGGAAGAUGAGAGCAAGCCCCCCGCGGGGUCCCGCUCGGCCAAUAGGCUGGGAGCACUAUGGGGAGGGGCCUUCCCUCACCAGGCUUCCUGCCUGCCUGGGUCCACGGAUUGUGAGCCGCUGAAACUGGAGCCCCGUGCAUAUGUGUGCGUGCGUGUGUGUGCACAGCGUGUGCAUGUGGCGUGUGUACACGUGUGUGCGUGUGUGUACGUGUUUUUCUUCUGACCCCCAGGAGGCUCCGCAUAUCUCCCGUCGCAUGGAGCAGGUACACAGUCGUCACCGGGAGCUGACAGGGCCAGGAGGCCGCCGUGGACGGAGCUGGCCUCCAAGACCGUGCCCGCAGGGCCCUCAGCCUCCCGCAGCCUCAGCCUCAGGAUGCACCGUCCCGUGAGCCUCACGGUCCCCUCUGGGCCCUGGUCCUUGCUGGAGCCGCGAUCCUGACCCACCCCUGCAUCCCUCGCACACGUGUCACCUGCCGGCUUUCGUGAGCAUGGACCGGGGGUGGCCGGCGUGCAGCAGGGCCUCCCCGCACAGACACGGAGGGAAGACCUGGAUGCCGGAGCAGGGCUGAGUCUGGGGCAGAUCACACUUCCCAGGGAGGGCGGACAUGGCCAGGGAAUAGUGUGUCUGGGGCCGUGCCAGUGCCGAGGGGACCGUGGGGGUGGGAUCCUCCCACUCCGUCACCCAAACUAACCACACCACCUGCACCACAUGACCUGUGCACGUGUCCACGGCGGGCCUUGCCACGUUGCCCUCUCCUUCCCUCACCGCAGCCCCACCCAUCUGUCAAGGUUUGGUUCCAAGGCUGCCUCCUCCAUGAAGACCACCAAAAUUGCAGCCCAGGCUCAGGAAAGAAGAAUCAGCCCCUAGGCCCCCACCACAGCCCGUUCUCCUCUCUCGCCUUUGUGCUCAGGCCUCAGGAAGGGACGGCCUGUGCCAUCCCUGGGUCGCUGUGGCCAGCAGGGAGUUUGGAGGAACUGCCCAGUCUCCAGAGACACGGGGCUUUGGAGGCGUCCACGGGCAGGUCUGCCCCGGCCGCCAGCUGGUCCCGCAGCUUAGGCAGCAGGGCCUCGAUGCCCCUUUCCCCUGGUCUGUCCAUGUGACUGCGGGGGCCCUUGGCUGAGACCUGGCUGCCCAGAGCCCAGGGUUAGGUCAGGACAGGCUGGUUACAGACCGGGGAGCUGCCCCAAGUGGAAAGGAAGCUUUCAGAAGGAAACCAGGGCAGGGCUCGGGGUGCAGCUGAGGCCAUGGGGCCACGGUGGGGUUGCAGCCCGGCGCAGGGGGCAAGGCCACGGGGUGCCCAUUCCGGUGACACCAGGGCCCCGUGGACCACUGCAUGCACCGCAGACGGUCACCUUUGGCUGCCCAGUCCCUAUCCCACCCAUGAAGGGGUCCACAGCCUCUGCUUCAGUGUUGGGCGUGAGCCCCCAGGCACCCAGAGCGCAGUGGGCACUCAGUGGCGGACAGUGGCUGCUGUCGUGGGUGGCUGCUGGGUCCAGCCCUAAUAGGGGGGCGGGGACAGGGCGGGGCCUGUCAGGAGGCCCAGGACGGAGCGGGGUGCCGAGCGGGGCAGGACCACCGUCAGCGAUGAUGGAGACUCUGCUCAUAGGUGAUGUCUGCUACAGUCUGCAGACCGUCCCCGCGUCGUCUACUCGACAGUCAGUCACAGGACACAGAACACACUGCCGCAGUGCCCGUAAGACCCCAGCAGGCCUCUCCCUGGUUCCGCGGCCCUGAAGCCUCCCGCACACAUUGGGACUGGCAGUAUUUCCUCUCCUGCCCCAAGGAUGUGGCCAGCACGGGAAGGCCUGCCGGCUCGCGGAAACAGCGUCCAGGGGCCCCGAGGGACGUCCGUCUGCAGCAGUUGGAGCCACCCCGUGCUGGCCUUGGGAUCACAGGCAGGGAGAGCCCCUGGGGACAGGGCCAGGAGACCAGCCCCACGACGAGACGUUUGCAUGGCUCACUUCCCCCAAUCCUCCAGUAACCGGUGUCACAGACUGGGAAACCGAGGCACGGAGGUCCCACGGGACCUCACCUCUUGGCCCCCCACCCCCAGCCAGCCGGUCCCCGGGUGGAGAGAGAGACACUCAGCGGGGUGGGGUGGGGCGGCGGGGAGGCAGGUUGAGGACCGCCUUCUUCCCCUUCCCAGCCUCAGGGGGCCCUUCUCGACUUCUGCCUUCUUCAAGGGGCCAGGAAGGGGGACCCAGACCUCUGGGCCUGAGGGUCCCACCCAAUGGGGCAGGGGCUUCUGAGGCCCACCCAUGGCUCUGCGGCCCAGCCCCUGCCAAGGCCAAGGGAAGAGCCAGGCAGUAUGGGAGGGGCUGUAGGGAGGGGGAGAGAAGGGCAAGUCCCUGGGUGGGCCUGGAGUGCCUGGAGGGGCAGGGGGCGGG